rnacentral:rRNA from 1 species
GAUGAACGCUCGCGGCGUGCCUAAUACAUGCAAGUCGAGCGAACAGACGAGGAGCUUGCUCCUCUGACGUUAGCGGCGGACGGGUGAGUAACACGUGGAUAACCUACCUAUAAGACUGGGAUAACUUCGGGAAACCGGAGCUAAUACCGGAUAAUAUAUUGAACCGCAUGGUUCAAUAGUGAAAGACGGUUUUGCUGUCACUUAUAGAUGGAUCCGCGCCGCAUUAGCUAGUUGGUAAGGUAACGGCGUACCAAGGCAACGAUGCGUAGCCGACCUGAGAGGGUGAUCGGCCACACUGGAACGGAGACACGGUCCAGACUCCUACGGGAGGCAGCAGUAGGGAAUCUUCCGCAAUGGGCGAAAGCCUGACGGAGCAACGCCGCGUGAGUGAUGAAGGUCUUCGGAUCGUAAAACUCUGUUAUUAGGGAAGAACAAAUGUGUAAGUAACUAUGCACGUCUUGACGGUACCUAAUCAGAGAGCCACGGCUAACUACGUG